rnacentral:rRNA from 1 species
AGUUACGUUAAGUAGAAAGGGUAAGCACUUAAGGUGUGGGGCCGUAGCGAAAGCGAGUUUUAACUGAGCGUUCAGUGUCUGGACGUAGACCCGAAACCGGGCGACCUACGCAGGAGCAGGAUGAAGCGAAAGUAAAAUUUCGGGGAGGUCCGAACCCACGGGCGGUGAAAAGCUCGGGGAUGACUUGUGGGUAGCGGUGAAAUUCCAAGCGAGCCCGGAGAUAGCUGGUUCUCCCCGAAAUAGCUUUAGGGCUAGCCUAAAGGUGAGAGAUGCGGAGGUAGAGCACUGAAUGUCCUAGGGGGUAUGGCACCUACCGAAGACUAUCAAACUCCGAAGGCCGUCAUCUUAUACUUGGGAGUCAGACUGUGGGUGAUAAGAUUCAUAGUCGAAAGGGCAACAGCCCAGAUCGGCAGCGAAGGUCCCUAAAUGUAAGUUAAGUGGUAAAGGAUGUGGGAUUGCAC